rnacentral:rRNA from 1 species
CCUACGGGAGGCAGCAGUGGGGAAUAUUGGGCAAUGGGCGCAAGCCUGACCCAGCAACGCCGCGUGAAGGACGAAGGCUUUCGGGUUGUAAACUUCUUUUCUCAGGGACGAAGCAAGUGACGGUACCUGCGGAAUAAGCCACGGCUAACUACGUGCCAGCAGCCGCGGUAAUACGGAGGUGGCAAGCGUUUUCCGGAUUUAAUGGGUGUAAAGGGCGUUUAGGCGGGACUGAAAGUCAGAUGUGAAAACCACGGGCUCAAUCUUUGUCAUGCAUUUGAAACUGUAGUUCUUGAGUACUGGAGAGGCAGACGGAAUUACUAGUGUAGCGGUGAAAUGCGUAGAUAUUAGGAGGAACACCAGUGGCGAAGGCGGUCUGCUGGACAGCAACUGACGCUGAGGCGCGAAAGCGUGGGGAGCAAACAGGAUUAGAUACCCUGGUAGUC